CCUACGGGGGGCAGCAGUGAGGAAUAUUGGUCAAUGGGCGCGAGCCUGAACCAGCCAAGUAGCGUGAAGGAUGACUGCCCUACGGGUUGUAAACUUCUUUUAUAAAGGAAUAAAGUGAGGCACGUGUGCCUUUUUGUAUGUACUUUAUGAAUAAGGAUCGGCUAACUCCGUGCCAGCAGCCGCGGUAAUACGGAGGAUCCGAGCGUUAUCCGGAUUUAUUGGGUUUAAUGUGAGCGUAGAUGGGUUGUUAAGUCAGUUGUGAAAGUUUGCGGCUCAACCGUAAAAUUGCAAUUGAUACUGGCAGCCUUGAGUACAGUUGAGGUAGGCGGAAUUCGUGGUGUAGCGGUGAAAUGCUUAGAUAUCACGAAGAAUUCUGAUUGCGAAGGCAGCUUACUAAACUGCCACUGACAUUGAUGCUCGAAAGUGUGGGUAUCAAACAGGAUUAGAUACCCAAGUAGUC
rnacentral:rRNA from 1 species